GACGAACGCUGGCGGCGUGCUUAACACAUGCAAGUCGAACGGAAAGGCCCUGCUUUUGUGGGGUGCUCGAGUGGCGAACGGGUGAGUAACACGUGAGUAACCUGCCCUUGACUUUGGGAUAACUUCAGGAAACUGGGGCUAAUACCGGAUAGGAGCUCCUGCUGCAUGGUGGGGGUUGGAAAGUUUCGGCGGUUGGGGAUGGACUCGCGGCUUAUCAGCUUGUUGGUGGGGUAGUGGCUUACCAAGGCUUUGACGGGUAGCCGGCCGGAGAGGGUGACCGGCCACAUUGGGACUGAGAUACGGCCCAGACACCUACGGGAGGCAGCAGUGGAGAAUAUUGCACAAUGGGCGGAAGCCUGAUGCGGCAACGCCGCGUGCGGGAUGACGGCCUUCGGGUUGUAAACCGCUUUCGCCUGUGACGAAGCGUGAGUGACGGUAAUGGGUAAAGAAGCACCGGCUAACUACGUG
rnacentral:rRNA from 1 species